rnacentral:tRNA from 1 species
CCCAACUUAGCUCAGUGGUAAAACGUCUGGAGUGCAAAGGUUGUGAGUUCGAAUCCCACAGUUAAAU